AGUGAACGCUGGCGGUAGGCCUAACACAUGCAAGUCGAACGGUAGCACAGUAAGAGCUUGCUCUUACGGGUGGCGAGUGGCGGACGGGUGAGGAAUACAUCGGAAUCUACUUUUUCGUGGGGGAUAACGUAGGGAAACUUACGCUAAUACCGCAUACGACCUACGGGUGAAAGCAGGGGAUCUUCGGACCUUGCGCGAUUGAAUGAGCCGAUGUCGGAUUAGCUAGUUGGCGGGGUAAAGGCCCACCAAGGCGACGAUCCGUAGCUGGUCUGAGGGGAUGAUCAGCCACACUGGAACUGAGACACGGUCCAGACUCCUACGGGAGGCAGCAGUGGGGAAUAUUGGACAAUGGGCGCAAGCCUGAUCCAGCCAUACCGCGUGGGUGAAGAAGGCCUUCGGGUUGUAAAGCCCUUUUGUUGGGAAAGAAAAGCAGCAGGUUAAUACCCCGCUGUUCUGACGGUACCCAAAGAAUGAGCACCGGCUAACUUCGUG
rnacentral:rRNA from 1 species